rnacentral:ncRNA from 1 species
GGAACGUGAGCUGGGUUUAGACCGUCGUGAGACAGGUUAGUUUUACCUACUGACAAAGUAGAUACUGCGACAGUAGUCGAAGUUAGUACGAGAGGAACACUCGUCCAGAUACUUGGUUAAUGCCGUUGUCUGAAAAGACAGUACGGCGAAGCUACCAUCUGCUGGAUUACGGCUGAACGCCUCUAAGCCGGAAUCCAUGCUGGAUAAGCAGUGUUGUACACCGUGCUCAAUGCUACAAGAAAAAGGCUAGGUCAGGCUUCGGCCUGACCAAAAUUCAAGCUGCUAUACCUCUGGCUGCAUUGACUUGUGGUCAGAGUGUAUGGUGAUCAUAGCAAUUGCAAGUAUUGGGCUCGAUAAAUCCUUUGAAGACGACUUAAUUGCAUCCGGGUAUUGUAAGUGUUGAGAGUAGGCUUAGUCUUACGAUCCACUGAGAUUCAUCCCGUGUUGCGCCGAUUUGU